AGCGAACGCUGGCGGCAGGCUUAACACAUGCAAGUCGAGCGGGGCACCUUCGGGUGUCAGCGGCAGACGGGUGAGUAACACGUGGGAACGUACCCUUUGGUUCGGAAUAACGCAUGGAGACGUGCGCUAAUACCGGAUACGCCCUUUUGGGGAAAGGCUUGCUGCCGAAGGAUCGGCCCGCGUCUGAUUAGCUAGUUGGUGGGGUAAUGGCCUACCAAGGCGACGAUCAGUAGCUGGUCUGAGAGGAUGAUCAGCCACACUGGGACUGAGACACGGCCCAG
rnacentral:rRNA from 1 species